CUAAAAACAGCUUGAAAAAGCUGCAGUUCUCUUGUCUGCUGUCUUUGCAAGCCCUCCCUUUUUAACCCCGCCCAGACUUUCUGUGGCUGUCCAAUCACAGACUUCCCAAUGCAGGUCAAUGAGAAGUCUUUGCAAGGCAGGAGCUCUGAGCAAUUGCUGUCUCUGGAGUUAAGCUCCACAUAGUUAACCAAACCAGGAAUUAACA